GCACAACGCGAAGAACCUUACCAAGGCUUGACAUACACGAGAACACUCUGGAAACAGGGGACUCUUUGGACACUCGUGAACAGGUGGUGCAUGGUUGUCGUCAGCUCGUGUCGUGAGAUGUUGGGUUAAGUCCCGCAACGAGCGCAACCCUCGUUCUAUGUUGCCAGCACGUUAUGGUGGGAACUCAUGGGAUACUGCCGGGGUCAACUCGGAGGAAGGUGGGGAUGACGUCAAAUCAUCAUGCCCCUUAUGUCUUGGGCUUCACGCAUGCUACAAUGGCCGGUACAAAGGGCUGCAAUACCGUGAGGUGGAGCGAAUCCCAAAAAGCCGGUCCCAGUUCGGAUUGAGGUCUGCAACUCGACCUCAUGAAGUCGGAGUCGCUAGUAAUCGCGAAUCAGAAUGUCGCGGUGAAUACGUUCCCGGGUCUUGUACACACCG
rnacentral:rRNA from 1 species